UACGGAGGGAGCUAGCGUUGUUCGGAAUUACUGGGCGUAAAGGGCUCGUAGGCGGCCAACUAAGUCGGAUGUGAAAUCCCCAGGCUUAACCUGGGAACUGCAUCCGAUACUGGAUGGCUUGAAUCCGGGAGAGGGAUGCAGAAUUCCAGGUGUAGCGGUGAAAUGCGUAGAUAUCUGGAGGAAUACCGGUGGCGAAGGCGGCAUCCUGGACCGGCAUUGACGCUGAUGAGCGAAAGCUAGGGGAGCAAACGGG
rnacentral:rRNA from 1 species